rnacentral:rRNA from 1 species
UGGGGAAUAUUGCACAAUGGAGGGAACUCUGAUGCAGCGACGCCGCGUGAACGAAGAAGGCUUUCGAGUCGUAAAGUUCUUUUAUAUGGGAAGAUAAUGACGGUACCAUAAGAAAAAGCCCCGGCUAACUACGUGCCAGCAGCCGCUGUAAUACGUAGGGGGCUAGCGUUCUCCGGAAUCACUGGGCGUAAAGGGUUCGCAGGCGGAAAUGCAAGUCAGGUGUAAAAGGCAGUAGCUUAACUACUGUAAGCAUUUGAAACUGCAUAUCUUGAGAAGAGUAGAGGUAAGUGGAAUUUUUAGUGUAGCGGUGAAAUGCGUAGAUAUUAAAAAGAAUACCGGUGGCGAAGGCGACUUACUGGGAUCAUUCUGACGCUGAGGAACGAAAGCGUGGGUAGCAAACAGG